GCAGCUUCUUCAUCAAAAGCACAGAUAAGCGAGAAGUUCGGCAUUCACGGUUCAGGCGUCCAGCAGUAAGUUGUUUCUGCUUCUAGUCUCUCGUUUCCUUCACUUUGCCGUUACUCUAUGAUUCUAGUUGAACUACAGCACCGAAAUUUCAGUUGAAGCAGUUCGAAAAUUAUCUUUCUAUGACUCUCUAGUCUCUACCCAACAACACUGAAACCCACAAACCCAGUGGGCAUGGGUUCUCUUAUAAAUGAAUCAGAGAGAGAGAGAGAUGACAAGGAGGAGGAAGAGCCCAUUAUAGUAUAGCAAACCCAGAGAUUCUGUAUGUUUCGCAUCAGGUACUAGCAACUUUAGGAGAUGUACAACAAGGCUGAGGCUAGUUUUGGACUGGUACAUGUUCAUUUAGUGAAACAAACAUGAAAAUUUCUUUCUUUCAUGUCAAUUUUGGUGUUUUCUUGUUUGUAUAUGUGGGUUUUGAAGUGGGUAUCUGUUUGUUUUCUUGAAUUUGAUUCAUAUUUGUUUAAAGUUGGGGUUUGCUUUGCUUGGAAUUGAGAGGGUAUCUGAACAAUGGUGGUGGCUUUCACUUGACUUUAUUGGAAUUCAGAGGAAAUUUAGUUCAUUGUGUUCUGCGUCCACAGUUAUUCUAAUGACAUGUUAAUUGGCUUACAGCUGAGGAGGUUGAUCUCUCCCAGGAUGUACAGCUGUGGGAGGCUCUGAUUGACUCCAAGAAACACUUUAUAAGUCAUGUCCUGGCAUUUCUGAGGCCAAGGUUGCUCGACCUAGUUCUGUACCUCCCGCUGCUCUGAAGGUUGGUGGUGGAAUGAUGAAACUUGGCCCAGUCAAAACAAAGAUGCCUUCAGAACUGAGAGCUGCUUAGGAUGGGGUUGACGUAAUAAGCUUAUCAAUCACUCCCAAUAGAUGUCCUCCCGGAGUUGCAACAUUUUUCAACCCCAUAGAUAUGGCUUCACUAUCAGCCGUAAAGGUAGGUAUAUUUGUUGUCCAAGCAGCAGGAAAUACCGGACCAUCACCAAAAAGCAUGUCUUCCUUCAGUCCAUGGAUCUUCACUGUUGAUUCUGCUUCUCAUGACAGAACCUACAGCAACUCUAUAACCCUUGGCACAACGUCACCAUUCCUGGAAUUGGACUUACACCUGGUACACAGAAAGAUACAAUGUACACACUGAUUUCUGCAAUACAUACUUUCACUGAUUUCUGCAAUACAUGCUUUCACUGAUUUCUGCAAUACAUGCUUUCACUGAUUUCUGCAAUACAUGCUUUGAAUAAUGACACAACAGUUGCAGAUGAUAUGUAUGUAAGUGAAUGCCAAGACUCGAGCAACUUCAAUCAAGAUCUCUAGGGAAACCUCUUGGUCUGCAGCUACUCAAUUCAGUUUGUGUUUGGAAUGUUCACAAUAAAGCAAAGCCUUACAAACAGCGCAAAAUUCAAAUGCUUGGUUUUGUUUUAUGGAUUCUUUUAUGAUUGAUUUUCAACCCACUCCAAUGAAAAUACCUGGCCUUUGUCACAGUAAUCAAGUUAUUUUAGUGCUUAAACCUCUCUAAUACAGUAAAGCACGCCAAUUUUGCCUGGUUCAGCUGCUAGUAAAAUGCACAUCAGCGUCUGUCAAUCUGGCAAGAUUGGUGGGGAAAAGGAGGACAACAUUGAAUCUGUGCUUAAACCUAAAGCUUGUCUAAGUUGCGGGCUUAAACAUUGAAUUUGUGUAAGCUGUAUAUAAAAAGAUACAGAUUCUAGGUGUCAGCUUUAUUCUGUUAUUUGGUCAAGAUCUAUUUACAUUCACAACAGAUUCCACUUGUAAAUGCAAUGACUAAUGCCAGAUGACUAAUAUCAA